rnacentral:rRNA from 1 species
CUGCUCACUGCUCACUGAAGUUUUAAAGAGCCGCGGUAUUUUGACCGUGCAAAGGUAGCAUAAUCAUUAGUCUAUUAAUUAUAGGCUGGAAUGAAUGGUUUGACGAAAAAUCAACUGUCUCUUAAUAAAUUUUAAAAUUUAACUUUUGAGUUAAAAGGCUUAAAUUUUUUUUUAGGACGAGAAGACCCUAUAGAGCUUAACAUUUAAUUUAAAUUUAUAUAUAAGAUUAUCUUUUUAUAUUUAAUGAAAAUGUUUUGUUGGGGUGACAUGAAGAAUUAAAAAACUCUUCAUUAUUGAUUCAUUAAUUUAUGUUUAUUUUGAUCCAUUAUUUAUGAUCAUAAGAUUAAGUUACCUUAGGG